GGGGAAUAUUGCACAAUGGACGAAAGUCUGAUGCAGCAACGCCGCGUGGAGGAUGACACAUUUCGGUGCGUAAACUCCUUUUAUAUGAGAAGAUAAUGACGGUAUCAUAUGAAUAAGCACCGGCUAACUCCGUGCCAGCAGCCGCGGUAAUACGGGGGGUGCAAGCGUUACUCGGAAUCACUGGGCGUAAAGAGCAUGUAGGCGGGUGAAUAAGUUGGAAGUGAAAUCCUAUAGCUUAACUAUAGAACUGCUUCCAAAACUGUUCACCUAGAGUAUGGGAGAGGUAGAUGGAAUUUCUGGUGUAGGGGUAAAAUCCGUAGAGAUCAGAAGGAAUACCGAUUGCGAAGGCGAUCUACUGGAACAUUACUGACGCUCAGAUGCGAAAGCGUGGGGAGCAAAC
rnacentral:rRNA from 1 species